rnacentral:piRNA from 1 species
UGUGGCUUAAAACUCACAUUGUGACCCU